ACACUCUUGUUUCUCUUCAGAUCGUAUAAAUCUUUCGCCUUUUACUAAAGAUUUCCGUGGAGAGGAGCAUUAAGAGUUCUAAUUAAUUUUUUUGAUGUCCUACUAUAUGUGGGGCU